AGUGAACGCUGGCGGUAGGCCUAACACAUGCAAGUCGAACGGCAGCACAGGAGAGCUUGCUCUCUGGGUGGCGAGUGGCGGACGGGUGAGGAAUACAUCGGAAUCUGCCCAGUCGUGGGGGAUAACGUAGGGAAACUUACGCUAAUACCGCAUACGACCUUCGGGUGAAAGAGGGGGAUCGCAAGACCUCUCGCGAUUGGAUGAGCCGAUGUCGGAUUAGCUAGUUGGCGGGGUAAUGGCCCACCAAGGCGACGAUCCGUAGCUGGUCUGAGAGGAUGAUCAGCCACACUGGAACUGAGACACGGUCCAGACUCCUACGGGAGGCAGCAGUGGGGAAUAUUGGACAAUGGGCGCAAGCCUGAUCCAGCCAUACCGCGUGGGUGAAGAAGGCCUUCGGGUUGUAAAGCCCUUUUGUUGAGAAAGAAAUCUUUCAGGCUAAUACCCUGGGAGGAUGACGGUACCCAAAGAAUAAGCACCGGCUAACUUCGUG
rnacentral:rRNA from 1 species